GCAUCGGGCUGCUGAAAGGGAGGUGGAUAUGUUUGGGCGCAGCAGGUGGCAAGCUGCUGUACAAACCUGAGAAGGUGUGUAGCAUGAUCAUGGCCUGCUGCGUCCUUCAUAAUAUCGCUCUGAAAAACGGUGUUCCCCUUGCCUUGGAGCCACCUCACCAACAACCUGAUGAGGGUCCUGAACCAUUCCUGGGCCAGGAAAACCUGCACGCGGUCCAAGUCCGACAGGCAGUGCCGCCGCUCCCAUAACGCGCACUACGCGCUGUGCGUAGGGCUCCAACUCCUGUGGGGGCACCAAAAAAUAGGCAACUAAAAAAUCAUCAUAGUUAUAAUAAUUAUAAUGCCGAUAUUAUUUCAUAUAGAAAUAUUAGGCACCGUUUAGGCAUGUAUAUCACAAAACAGGCAGAACAAGAGAUAUAUUUAGUUGCUCCCAAAAAGUUACGCUGGUAGCGCCCCCCCC